rnacentral:sRNA from 1 species
GAUCGGAAACGCGACCCACUGAAAAGAUC